AAGGAUCAUUAUCGAAUAAACUUGAACAGGCUGUUGCUGACACCCCUAGGGUGUGUACGUGCACGCUUGUCAUCUUUAUCAUUUCUCCAACUGUGCACAUAUUGUAGACCUUGGAAGCUUUUUUGAAUUUAUUUUUCGAGUUGGGACUGCUGUGUUUGAUCAAAGUCAGCUUUGCCCUUUGCAUUUCAAGGUCUAUGUCAUUUUUUCACAAACCUCUUGAUGCGUUUAGAAUGUGUUGAAUCAGGUCAAUUUUGUACCUAUAAAGUUAAAUAUACAACUUUCAGCAACGGAUCUCUUGGCUCUC
rnacentral:misc_RNA from 1 species